AAGCAUCUUGGUCUAUUAUACAGAGUAUUGUUGUACUGCUCCAAAGUGCUUGUUGACAGACUGGAACCACUUGCUUGCGGCUCAUAAGGUUCACUUCUUGAGAGCAGGCAGCUACAAAAUGGAAGGUCAACAGAUCCAGUAUACUUGAAAAGCAAGAAAGAAACACCAGAAAAUAUAAAAAGACAGAAGAACAAGGGAACUUUAAUAAAAAAAAAAAACUUUUAAGGAUAGGAAUUCAGGAUUUAUUUAGAAACUAAAUUUAUUUUGAGAACAGCAGUGUUUGACUAAGCUCUGUUACUUUAAGAGAUAAUGUAUUAUCACA